GGCUACAUAGCUCAACCAGGUAGAGCUCCCGGCUUUUAACCGGAUGGUUAUGGGUUCGAUUCCCAUUGUCGCCA
rnacentral:tRNA from 2 species